AGGUAGGACUACCCGCUGAACUUA
rnacentral:rRNA from 1 species